rnacentral:rRNA from 1 species
UACGAGGGGGGAGAGCGUUGUUCGGAAUUAUUGGGCGUAAAGGGUGCGUAGGCGGUUUUGUAAGUCUUAUGUGAAAUCUAUGGGCUCAACUCAUAGACUGCAUGAGAAACUGCAGGGCUCGAGUGUGGGAGAGGUGAGUGGAAUUUCCGGUGUAGCGGUGAAAUGCGUAGAUAUCGGAAGGAACACCUGUGGCGAAAGCGGCUCACUGGACCACAACUGACGCUGAUGCACGAAAGCUAGGGGAGCAAACAG